GGCUUGGUCGUGUAGUGGUAGCACGCUCCUAAUGCGUACUGACUCCUGGGUCUCUGACCUUCAGUUGAGUGUAAGCCGCAUCGGGAUUGAGGUGUGGGUUCGAAUCCCAUCCGAGUCA